ensembl:snoRNA SNORD58 Small nucleolar RNA SNORD58
UUGCAAUGAUGACAACUUAGGACACCUUUGGAUAAACCAUGAAAAUACUCACAAGACCUGAGCAAC